rnacentral:rRNA from 1 species
UUGGGUGGUUAUAGAGACGGUGUUCACCUCUUCCCAUUCCGAACAGAGAAGUUAAGCCCGCCCUCGCUGAUGAUACUGCACUUGUUUGUGGAAAAGUAAGUCGCCGCCCAUU